GGUUAUAGCUCAGUGGUAAAGCACUUGACUAGCAUGUGUGAGGCACUGGGUUUGAUUCUCAGUACCA
rnacentral:tRNA from 1 species